UACGGAGGGUGCGAGCGUUGUCCGGAAUCACUGGGCGGAAAGGGCGCGUAGGUGGCGCGGGCAGUCAACGGUGAAAGCUCGGGGCUCAACCCCGAGUCGGCCGUCGAUACUCCCGUGCUUGAGCACUGUAGAGGCAGGUGGAAUUCCGGGUGUAGCGGUGGAAUGCGUAGAGAUCCGGAAGAACACCGGUGGCGAAGGCGGCCUGCUGGGCAGUAGCUGACACUGAGGCGCGACAGCGUGGGGAGCAAACAGG
rnacentral:rRNA from 1 species